rnacentral:lncRNA from 1 species
CUUAAGCGGUAUGGAAUUGAUAAGGAUGUAGCCCGAACUGGACAGGGCGUGGCCCAAAAUGGACAGUGUGAUAAGUCUGAACCAAUACCACAAACGCCCAGUUAGAAUAGUAUAAAAGGAGCUGAAGACCUCAAGCAAGUGGACGAUCCGUCCCACGGACCAGUCUACUAGUCAGUCUGCUGAUCUGACUACCGACCAGGACAUCUGCACCUGAUCCCGCUGGAAGGAGCAUCGCCGCCGACCUGACGAGACCAGAGGACGAGGCCAGCGGAGAGACGGACAGCCUAGCGCCGACUCGACGCCCUUCGUCUACGGAUCGGACCCUCUGACCCUGCGGGAGGAAACGUCGCGCUCCCACAAGGACUUGCGCAGUACAGCUAAAGUAAUACCUAGAGAUGGAGAAUUCCUGGAAUGGCCAUCACUGCCUUUCGCUACAAAGCAAGGAAGCAGGCAGAGGAAACUAACUGCAUCUUGCCCUGACCUUGUGGCUGAGAAGGCAGAUGGAAGCAUGGUCUGGGAGUCUGUUUUCCUAAACUGACAGCGUGUUGAAGGAGACAGGUGGAGAGGAAGCCCUAGGACACAGGGCUGGCCUGUGCUGCUCUAUCCCCACCGAUGGCUCUAAUGUCCAGGAGCACCUCUGUUGGGGUGAACUCCCUCCCAGAAGCUCCAUGUGUCCUUGACAGAGAGCCAGGCUGGUCUGGGUUUGAAACAAGCAUCUUGUAGCCAGGCGUGGUGGUACAUGCCUAUAAUCCCAAAACUUCGGAGGCUGAGGCAGGGGGAAUGCCACGAGUUCAAGGCCAGCCUGCACUACAUAGCAAGACCCCGUCUCAACAACAAUAACAACACACACACACACACACACACACACACACACACAAACCAACAACAGAAAUAUGCCAUUUCCCAGUUUUAGAUCAAAGUCUCAGAUCAGGGUGUCUUUGGGGUUGAUUUCUCAGAGCCUGUGGCCCAUCCUCCUGGCUCCUCUUAGCUUGAUCACCAGCAAGCAUCCAGACUCUAAUCAGGUCACCCGGAUUUCAACCUCUGGGCGGAGGGGCACAGUUCAGCCCAGGACACCAGAGGAGCCCUCACCAAGAGACAGCCCUGAGCAGACAGAAGCUGCUGAUGAGUCCCAGGUCCUGCAAGAACAGGAGUGUUGUGCACACAGUGGGUGUCCUUGUGACGGCAAGAUGGCCAUUUGGGUGGGCAGAAGGAGCAAGGGCAGGAGGGGCUAGAGUCAGGAAGGGUCCAGGGGCCCGAGCAGGGGCUCAGGAGGACUCAGCAGGCAUUUCCUGCUUUGGCAUAAGGACUCCUUCAAAUCCACCGGCCCACCACUCCACAGCGCAGGCGCUGUGGGGACAGGGAAGGGGCAUCCCAAGGUGGAGGGCAAGUGAGGACGGUCCUUUCCUGGCUUUUCAGAGUCAUCUUUUUGGUUGCUGUAUCCCUCAGCCCCUCCCUGUACCCUGUGCUGGCCCGGCCAGCCUCCUGCUCUGUAGGGCACCACACCAAGUGUCACAGUGCACAACACUGUUGUAUCAGCAAAUGCGGCUGACUGAGACCUGUGUCCCCAUCUGCACAGCAGACCAAAGAGAUGGGACUGGGCCAAACUCUUGCUUUUCUUGGGAUCUGUGGUUCCCGGCUGCCAUGGCUUGUAGGGGCUUCCAACACACCCCAAGAACCACCAGCUUCCACAGUAACAGAAACUGCUUGGGACCGACUGGCAGGGUAUAAACCUGUUCAAUAUGUUCCUCAUUUCCUACAAAACUACAUAUGCCUGGAAACAACAGGGAAGAAAUGCACCAAAAUGCUAACAGUUCUGUCUCUGUGAUGACAUUUUUGUAAAUAUGUUUUGAGCUUUCUACAUUUUCCACCACCACAAUACAAAAAUCAUUUUUUAUUUUGUUUUGUUCUGUUUUUGUUUUCUUGAGACAGGCAACAAUUGCCUUGUGUAGUUCAAGGCGAUUCUCCUGCCUCAGCCUCCCAAGUGCUGGGAUUACAGGAUGUGUCACCAUGCCCGGCUCAAAAGUCAUUUUUAAAAUGCAUUUAUAAACUAUUUUGUUUAAGCUUGAAUGCAGUGAAAUGGUAGGAGUCCCUUUAGGUGAUAAUCGGGUGACUUCAAUGCUUGCCAUUUGGAAAAUCACAGUUUUAUUUGAAUUGCAAAAGGACUUCUCUGUGUUGCCUUCUAAAAUUUCACCCAGGGACACUAAUUUAGAAGUCCAGUGCUGUAGAAACCCAGGCCCUGUAGCAAAAUUGCUUUUGCAAGAAGCUCCGUAAUCUACCCACCCCACCCCAUCUAUGAGGACUUCAGCGGUAGCCCUGCAGGAUGAGCAAAGCUGGCCUUCCACCCUUUCCAGAGAAGGCCUGUGUGUGCAUGCAUGUAUGAGUGUGUAUGAGUGUGUGUGUGUGUGUGUGCGCGCGCACAUGUCGUGACAGCAACAUGUGACCUUGGGAAAAUUAUUUAGCCUCUCUCAGUAGGCAGCAUAUUGGCUCCCAAAGAGGUGUGUUCCAAAUUCCUGCAAGCUGGGAGUACCUUAAUGAACUUGGUAGCAGCUGGCCUCAGACACCCGCUUCUCCAUCUUCAUACACCUGGUUCUGUCCCUGGUCCCCCAGGGAAGGUGGGGGUGCUGGCAAGGGAAACUAGCUACCGCCUGCCUAGAAUAGCCCAAGCAGCUUGCCGUAAUGGUGAGAAACAGCGAAAGAGACAGGUCAAGGAUGCAGCUCAGUGGCAGAGCAUGGGCUCAGCAGCAUGGGCCCUGGGCCUGUGACCCUGUAACCCACCACAGAGAGAGUGGGUGAGUGAAGGACAAAACACAGCUUCAUUCAAGACACCUGAAAAAAGCUUCCAAAUGUAACACAACCUAAAUAAGAGACUCUCUGUGGGGACUCCGCAUUUCAGAAUAAUGCAAUAUGAAUAUAAUUCAAUAAAAUAAAAAUUUAAAAAUAAGAUAAAAAUAACAGAAUGAGAUGAAAUGGGAGACUGCAGAACUAACACAUUGAAAACCAACACACACACAAAGAAAACUAAAACACUAUGACUACUGAUCUAAUAAAUUAGAGAAUAAACUAAAAGGAGCUAAAUAUCAAAUUAAUAUUAUGAAGGAAAGACUCAAAAGUGGAUGCAUAGGAAAAAGAUAAAGAGAUUAAAGCAAUUAGAAAGGAUAUGGUAGAAGGGUGGCACACACCUGUAAUCCCAGCACUCUGACAGGCUGAGGCAGGAGGAUCGCAAAUUCCAGGCAAGCUUGGGCAACUUGGUGACUUAGCAAAACUCUCAAAAAAUAGGACAGGGGGCCAGGGAUGCAGCUCAGUGUGAAGGCCAUGGAUUCAGUCUCAAAUACUUCUUCCUCCUUUUCUCCUUCCUUUUUGCAGAGGAAGGAGGAGGAGGAGGAUGAAGAGAAGUGAUAGAUACAAAAGUCAAAGAUCUACUAACUUUAGGAUAAUUGGGAUUUCUCAUGUACUCAUCUCAACAAAACGAGCUUAAAAGCCGUCAGAUAUAAUGCAGGAAACUCUUCUAAUGUCUAAUAAAAAUUCACAGUAAAAACUUAAGACAUGCAGCGUAUACCAG